ACCGGGCAAAGUGGCGUGUGCAUGUAGUCCCAGCUACUUGGGAGGCUGAGGUGGGAGGAUCGCUUGAGCCUAGGAGUUUUAGGCUGUAGUGUGCUAUGCUGAUCAGGUGUCUGCACUAAGUUCGAAAUCAAUAUGGUGACCUCCCAAGAGCGGGGGACCACCAGGUUGCCUAAGGAGGGGUGAACCUGCCUAGGUCGAAAACGGAGCAGGUCAAAACUCCGGUGCUGAUCAGUAGUGGGACCUCGCCUGUGAAUAGCCACUGCACUCCAACCUGGGCAACAUAGCAAGACCCCGUCUCUA
ensembl:misc_RNA Metazoa_SRP Metazoan signal recognition particle RNA